CAUGGUAUUGACAGGCAUCUGAGACACAAAGAAUGUAAUCUGUUUGAACAUAGGACUGAGUACUGAAGGGACCUUCUACUAUUGCAGAUGGUGAAAUGGAUUUUGAAAUUAUUACAACGGGAGAAGGAAUCGUUUAGAUGGUGUUUUUCUAUUUGCUUUAUUGAACAGAAGUAAGCAAAAUGAGGAGAGCUAUUCAGGGGAAAAAAUUCUGGAAAGUAGUGGUAUGGAACACUAUGAAGAUGAAGGAUAAAAGAUGAAGGAUGAUGAAGAUGUGUUUGCCUGAAGAAACAGGAAGAAAUGGAUCUGUUAAUGGAACAUGGCUGUAGAGAAAGAGGGUCCUCUAGAUGUUCAGCCCUUGGAGAUAUACUCCGGUAGUCUGGUGGUUCCGGUCGGAGCUGUAUGCUACAGUCAUCCUUCUUUGCUACCAAAAUUACCCUACUAUAACCUUAAGGACUAUCUACAACAAAGUAAUAAACAAGAGCCUGCACCAAAGUAAGGAAAGGAAAAGACUAACAAAAGAAGAAAAGAAAGGAACUAUCCUGGUCAGCUAUAAACACAGGCAAGUAAAGAAAAAAAAACUGAAAAAGGAGAGGGGUGUCAGGCUGAGCAGCCUGCCUCCCCCACACUCUAGCCUGAACCUAGUGCAUCUCCCUGGCUCAGAUCCGCAUUCUUCCUCAGCUCCUCUCUGAGCCACCUUGGGUCCUGCGUUCCUGUGCCAUCUGUCACCAGUGCGAGACAAUCCUACAGUCUUCGCUGACACUGACGCUAGCCUCUGCAUUGGAUCUUCUUGAUUUCACUGGUGCUGAGUGCACCCGGCAUGGGGGAUCCUUGCAGCCUCUCCUGCUCCUGGCAAUCCCCGCUCACUCCUUCUUGGAGCCAACUUUUGUAUCCACCAGGCAGCGUCUCCUGCUGACAUCACCUGGCCCCAGCUGCAGAUAAGCAUGGCUAAUGAACUGCAUGGUCUUUUCUUCUUGGCGUGUUUCUUUGGGUCUUCAGCGUCCUA